AGGGCAUCCGAGUGCUUCAAGUGACUUUUAUUCUGUUCCGAUUGCGGUCAAGUGACUAAUGUGAUCAAUGCAACACCCCCCCCACCUCACCUUUUGGCAAUUACACGUGAUAAUGAAUGAAAAAAGUGAUGGAAAAAUAGUCUGUCACUUUAGUGUGUCUGUGGGCGGAGUCUCUUGCGGCCUCCCCCUUAGCCCCACCCCCGCUUGUGAUCUUCCUCAUCAUCAUCAUCAGCAGAACACAUGAGAAGCCAAAUUCUAAAUUGUUGACGUUGAACAGAACUUAUGUACUUGUUCUGUGUCCUUUGAGUACUUUUUUGUCCUCUGUUUGUCCCCUUUAAGUGUUACUUUGAUUUUUUUUUUUUUCCUUCAAAAUAUUCUGUGGGCGGGAGCAAGAAGAAGACGUGCCAAGCGCAGCUGUGGAGAGUUCAAGUUAGUUAGCAGGAACUGCUACACAGUGAAGUCGCACAACAUCAAAAGUCACGUUAAUGUUUAACCACAUGGAUGUGUUUUACCACAUCCUGGAGGCCAAGGUACACACACCAGAAGAAGCUACACAAUGAAGGUUAAACUGACGAGUGCAGACAAAAGCAGCAAAUGGCCGACAAUAACCUGCGGCUAUCGAGUCAGCGAUUAGAGCGGGAGGGGAACGUCUCCGUCAGUUCGGUCCUGCCUUGAGAUAAAGAAACUGUACGUCCAAGUGAAUCCGAGCGGAGGUGAGCCGAGCUCAGGCCCCCCGAUAAGAUCCUGCUACUGCAGUUCAGCGAUUUGGGCUCACAAAAGCUUGAAGGAACCGAAUAGGACAUCACGACUGUACAAAACUGGCCAAUUUGUUGUCUACGGUAACAAGUGUUGACGCAAGGAUAUCCUGAAUAUGAAUACAAAUACCUAAUAUUUACACUAAUCCUAUGAACGUAAGCCCAAAAUUAACAUGACCCCAACCCUAAACUAUUUUUCUCGUCCACUGAGUAGUCGGUGUCGUCACCAGCAGUUAUUUGCCACCAGGAAUACAAAAAAAAAAAUAAAAAACAAACUCAAAACAAUUUCCACUAAACUUUGGGCCAGUUAAACUCUCCGAAAACAAGCGUUUUUCUCUCUUUCCACGCAGCCUCCAAACGAGACCGAGCGGCAUGAUGAAACAGCCUGUAAAACUUUGAGACGGUCGCCUGGUUUUUGCGGCGUAUUUACUGCAGUCAAUUCCCACCCCGCCGCGCUGAGACUAGCCCACGGUUAGACAAAGUCGCCGAAGACCACCAAUUAGCAGCCGCGCCUGCCCCCACGAUGCUCCGCAGCCUGCCUCUGAACCCAACAACCUUCACUCACGGCGCUGUAUGAAAAUAUUGUACAUACACUCGGUCGCAGCGGUGGCCAAAAGUACUCGCGUUGUACUUAAGUAGAAGUACAGGCCAACACACAAACACAACACUGCUGACAUUUCAUAAAUCCACCGUAUUUUUUUCCAUGCACCAGAUGCCAUUAUACCACAGGUGUCAAAGUUAAGGCCAGGGGGCUGGAUCUGGCCCGCCACACGAUUUCAUGUGGCCCGCGAAGGUCAAAUUAUGUACAUCAACUUGCGUGGUUUUUGUGAUAAUCUGUCACAAAAUUUCAAAUGGUCAUAUCAUAAGUGAUAAAGUUGAGAUAUUGCAAGCGUUUUUGUGUUACCAAACAUGAACGACAGUUGGAAAAAUCCAUUACUGAUUCCAAAAUUAGUUCAUAAAUUUCAUGUGUAAAUUUGAUGAGGCGAAAAGAUUUUCAUAGGUUCACAGUCAUAACAGCCUUCUCGGGGAAUCGUAACUACAAUGCGGCCUGCGACAAAAAUGAGUUUGACACCCCUGCGUUAUACAGAUUUUUUUUUUUUUUUUUUUUUUUUUUUUUUUGGGGGGGGGUCAAAACUUGCAAAUAUGAUCAUCGUAUUGUGGCAGUUUGGCAAAGUAAAAAUUUCUUCAACAAAAGUCCAUCAAACUUUUAUGGACACACCCAGUUCAAUGUUACUAUAAAACAUUGUGUAUUCAAAAUAUCUACACAAAUUCAAAGUCCACCAUUUUAAUGUCAACGCGUAAUGAGGAAACGCCAUAGACCAGCUAACAAAAGGCAUCUAUGUGGCCAUGAAUAUGUGAACAGAUAGAUUAUAGACAGAGUAUAUUACAAAACUCACUGGCAUUUGUUCUUUCUCACCUGCACUUUAUAUUACUGCUUAUUACAUAAUAUGGCUGUUAUCACUUUAAUUUAUUGCAUUAAAAAAAAACCUCAAACACUUUUGGUUUUAUUUUUUGUAGGGUGGGCUUUCUAAUAACUGUAGCAAAUGACUGGUGGAAUCACAAUCAAAUCGUUACUCCUUUUACUAUUUUGAAAUUGACAUGCCAUUGUUCACAAAUAAAAUCCAAUUUGAUGAUUUGAAAUGAUCUAUGAAUCUCCGAUUUUUGUCACCACAUC